rnacentral:rRNA from 1 species
UAAGUAGAGUGGCGAACGGGUUAGUAACGCGUGGGAACACACACAGCACAGGGGGAUAACCAUUGGAAACGAUGGCUAAUACCGCAUACGCCCUAUUGGGGAAAGAUUUAUCGGUGUUGGAUUGGCCCGCGUUAGAUUAGCUAGUUGGUGGGGUAAUGGCUCACCAAGGCGACGAUUUAUAGCUGGUUUGAGAGGAUGAUCAGCAACACUGGAACUGAGACACGGUCCAGACUCCUACGGGAGGCAGCAGUCGGGAAUAUUGUGCAAUGGGGGCAACCCUGACACAGCCAUGCCGCGUGAGUGAAGAAGGCCUUAGGGUUGUAAAGCUCUUUCAGAUGUGAGGAUGAUGACGAUAGCAUCAGAAGAAGCUCCGGCUAACUUCGUGCCAGCAGCCGCGGUAAUACGAAGGGAGCUUACCGUUGUUCGGAAUUAC